rnacentral:rRNA from 1 species
AUUGAACGCUGGCGGCACGCUUAACACAUGCAAGUCGAACGGCAGCAUGGUGUGUGGUAACACAUACUGAUGGCGAGUGGCGGACGGGUGAGUAAAGCGCAGGAAUAUGCCUUAAAGAGGGGGAUAACAUGGGGAAACUCAUGCUAAUACCGCAUGUGCUCUGAGGAGCGAAGCUGGGGACCGAAAGGCCUGGCGCUUUAAGAAUAGCCUGCGUCCGAUUAGCUAGUUGGAAGGGUAAAGGCCUCCCAAGGCGAUGAUCGGUAGCUGGUCUGAGAGGAUGGACAGCCACACGAGGACUGAGACACGGCCCAGACUCCUACGGGAGGCAGCAGUGGGGAAUAUUGGACAAUGGGGGGAACCCUAAUCCAGCGAUGCCGCGUGUGUGAAGAAGGCCUGAGGGUUGUAAAGCACUUUUAGUGGGGAGGAGGGUUUUUGUGUUAAGAGCAUGGGAACUGGACGUUACUCACAGAAAAAGCACCGGCUAACUCCGUGCCAGCCGCCGCCGUAA